GAUGAAGAACGCAGCGAAAUGCGAUAAGUAAGUGAAUUGCAGAAUUCAGUGAAUCAUCGAAUCUUUGAACGCACCUUGCACCCUUUGGCAUUCCGAAGGGUAUGCUCGUUUGAGUGUCAUUGUACUCUCACACUCCCACUCUUUUGGAUUGGGAGCGGUGGACUUGGGUGUUGCUGCUUCACUGUGGCUCGCCUCAAAUGGAGUAGUGCAACUCUCGGUUGGACAUAGUACGGCGUGAUAAGUGUCUUCGCCGGCGCCUCACUAGAGGGUGGCCGAUCGGGAGCUCUGUGCUUCAAACCGUCUUCGGACAAUCUCUGACAACUUGACCUCAAAUCGAGUAGGACUACCCGCUGAACUUAAGCAUAUCAAUAAGCGGAGGA
rnacentral:misc_RNA from 1 species